rnacentral:lncRNA from 1 species
GUAAAUGCAGGGUGCUGAAAGAUGAAUAUUUCCAUGCUUCCACGCCAAGUCCUUGUAGGCAUUGUCUUUGAACUCCUCCAAGUAGUAGUCAGCUCGAUCAAUGGCACGGAACGCCUGCUCUACCAGCUCUGUCCGGAUAUAUUGUGCCUCCUUCAGGUUAUCAAUUAACUCGUCGUUGUCUUCUCCUGCACUUACUGCACCUCCCAUCUUCAACCUCUGUGUAAGCACUAAAACUGGGCGGCAGCGCGGCCCGGCUCUGUUCGCUCGCUCUCGGCCCAGCUCUGCCCGCUGCGCUCCGCAGCUGUAAACACUGCCCCGCCGAGCGCC